rnacentral:rRNA from 1 species
GUGUCAGCCGCCGCGGUAAUACGGAGGGUGCAAGCGUUAAUCGGAAUUACUGGGCGUAAAGCGCACGCAGGCGGUUUGUUAAGCUAGAUGUGAAAGCCCCGGGCUCAACCUGGGAUGGUCAUUUAGAACUGGCAGACUAGAGUCUUGGAGAGGGGAGUGGAAUUCCAGGUGUAGCGGUGAAAUGCGUAGAUAUCUGGAGGAACAUCAGUGGCGAAGGCGACUCCCUGGCCAAAGACUGACGCUCAUGUGCGAAAGUGUGGGUAGCGAACAGGAUUAGAUACC